UACGUAGGUGGCAAGCGUUGUCCGGAUUUACUGGGCGUAAAGGGCGUGCAGGCGGUCUGUUAAGUGCAGGGUGAAAGCUCCCGGCUCAACUGGGAGAGGUCCUUGCAUACUGGCGGACUUGAGGGGGGUAGAGGAAAGUGGAAUUCCCGGUGUAGUGGUGAUAUGCGUAGAUAUCGGGAGGAACACCUGUGGCGAAGGCGGCUUUCUGGGCCCUACCUGACGCUGAGACGCGGAAAGCGUGGGGAGCGAACCGG
rnacentral:rRNA from 1 species